rnacentral:rRNA from 1 species
AUUGAACGCUGGCGGCAGGCUUAACACAUGCAAGUCGAGCGGAGAUGAGGUGCUUGCACCUUAUCUUAGCGGCGGACGGGUGAGUAAUGCUUAGGAAUCUGCCUAUUAGUGGGGGACAACAUUCCGAAAGGAAUGCUAAUACCGCAUACGCCCUACGGGGGAAAGCAGGGGAUCUUCGGACCUUGCGCUAAUAGAUGAGCCUAAGUCGGAUUAGCUAGUUGGUGGGGUAAAGGCCUACCAAGGCGACGAUCUGUAGCGGGUCUGAGAGGAUGAUCCGCCACACUGGGACUGAGACACGGCCCAGACUCCUACGGGAGGCAGCAGUGGGGAAUAUUGGACAAUGGGCGGAAGCCUGAUCCGGCCAUGCCGCGUGCGUGAAGAAGGCCUUUUGGUUGUAAAGCGCUUUAAGCGAGGAGGAGGCUACCUGGAUUAAUACUCUAGGAUAGUGGACGUUACUCGCAGAAUAAGCACCGGCUAACUCUGUGCCAGCCGCCGCGGUAAAAC